CACGUAGGCGGACUUUUAAGUCAGAUGUGAAGUCCCGGGGCUCAACCUCGGAACUGCAUUUGAAACUGGAAGUCUGGAGUUCAGGAGAGGUUAGCGGAAUACCGAGUGUAGAGGUGAAAUUCGUAGAUAUUCGGUGGAACACCAGUGGCGAAGGCGGCUAACUGGACUGAUACUGACGCUGAGGUGCGAAAGUGUGGGGAGCAAACA
rnacentral:rRNA from 1 species